UGCAAUCGUUGAUAAAAAAUGAUGCAACGAUUGAGAUCCGCUUAUUCUUACUUUCCUUUUAUAUAUCAAAGAAACCCUAAUCUCCCAUUCUCAACAAUAAUAUCCCAUUCUCAACAACAAUAGCUACAUUUCAACCGCAAAGAUUGGUAUAGUGGUUCAGCAACUCAUUCGUUAAGCAAGAAGUUGGGGUUCAUUUUCACAUCUGACGAAUGCAGCAAACUCUGUGACAAAUCUCUACUCUUUCUCUAUCUUCUCUUCCUUUCUCUCUCUGUAGGCAUAGCCGCCGGCGAAUGUAAUUACCAGCCCGCCGGCAACCUCGGCACCACCAAUGUUGCUUCACCAUCACCAACACCCUCUUCAUCGAACCAUCCCAACGCCUGGACCGACGAGUUGCCGACCAGCGCCGCCCCAUUCCCUUCUUUUCUCUCUCCGGUCCCUCUCUUCCACAGAACUACAAGUUCUGCACCACCACCGGCAACCUGCCGCCGGUGGACAACAAAUACUAUACCACUCUUCUCCCUCAUACAUCAUUACUCGCCUCAAAGACAGUCCAAACAAAUUCCUCAGCCUGCCAAUGUGAUACUUAUCAAAGGCUUAAGCAGCAUUUACAAUUUCAUGAAUGAACGGAUUUUAUUGGAGAUAGAUCAGUUUCUUUCUUUUGUAUAUUGGUGUUGAUGGCUCUCUGUUUCUGCCACUAAUUUAGAUGUAGUUAUGCAGUUGAAAGGAAGACAAGUUUGCUUUACCAAAUUCAUAUACGAAGAAGGUAGAGGAAAAGGGUAUCAACGACGUAUCCUGGAUUGCCUGUUUGUUAUGUGUUGCAUACAGUGGAGGCUGCAGUGGAUGGUUUACCUGAGGAGGAGUUUUGCACGGAGGAGAUAGAUGAAUACGGUGAUUCGGGUGGGAGGAUGGUUGCUGAUGGGGCAGUUUUCUGUAAAAAGCAUUACUGGAGGUGGGUUGAUGCUGAUUCGUUAUGAUCGUUGAUGUGUGAGAGGUGAGUGAGCAGGAUUACUGCUAAACUCAUAACCGCUGCUCAGAAUGCCAUGGAUCAGUACAAGCGGUCUCUUGUGGUGGAGAGGUCUUGCUCGACUGUUGGAAGUUAAAGGAUUUGUUAAAUGAUGAACGUCCAUUCCAAGAAGACAACCAAGAGGAUGAAAGUGAUGAUGACUCUGAAGACGUGAAUGAAAGUGAUUCUGAUCUUGAUGGUUGGUAGUUUUAUUGAGGAUUCAAGUUUGAAAUAUUUUAUUUUGGACCAUUUAAGAAUCAUACAUUAUUGAUGUGGAUGUUUUGAAUUAUGUUUUUUUGUUAGUUGUAAUGAUUUACAUUAUUAGACUUGUAUGAAUGAUGUUUUUGAGAAUUAUUGAAGGUUUUGAAUAUAUUUUUGAUUAA